ACGAAUUGAUUGCUGAUCUAAAAAAUGAGAGGCAUCCUGUUAGCUUGUGCCUUAUCCAUCCAAUUCCAAUCUCGAGUUUCUGGUGGUUGGUAGGUUAACGAACAAUGUGCGGGUGCGGCCAUGACCCAUGGCCAGAUUCGAAGGACCGCGACAGCCACGCUAUACCCCUUCUCUCCCCGUCCCUCACCACUGUCGUAUUCCCUUGGUUCUUGUGUCGAUGAACUGAGUUUGAGAAGAGAAGGUCGAGGCAGGGAGCUUACCAGUGACCGGCGGGGCAGCAGCAGCACGAACGCAAGAUCAAUCUCUGGGUGACCGUCCGCAUUCUGCAGGUCCGAUUCACUCAGAUAUUUUUGUCCCGACUUUUGAGCGCCUUCUUUCCUGACUCCCUCUCUGAUCCUGUGUAGAUCGUAAAAUUUGAGAUGGGGCAAUGGCCUAGCUUGCCCAUCCGUGAACCAGCCGUUGCCCUGGACAGCGUGAACCCAAGCGGCCGCACAUUAUUUUGCAGCCUCAACACAUGUUGGUUAAGAAUCAGCACAGCACGAACUUGCACAACAGGGUUUGCCUACGCAGAAGGGAGAGGCAGGGGAGGAGAGCGCAGACUAGAC
rnacentral:lncRNA from 1 species